GACGAACGCUGGCGGCGUGCUUAACACAUGCAAGUCGAACGGAAAGGCCCUGCUUUUGUGGGGUGCUCGAGUGGCGAACGGGUGAGUAACACGUGAGUAACCUGCCCUUGACUUUGGGAUAACUUCAGGAAACUGGGGCUAAUACCGGAUAGGAGCUCCUGCUGCAUGGUGGGGGUUGGAAAGUUUCGGCGGUUGGGGAUGGACUCGCGGCUUAUCAGCUUGUUGGUUGGGUAGUGGCUUACCAAGGCUUUGACGGGUAGCCGGCCUGAGAGGGUGGCCGGCGACAUUGGGACUGAGAUACGGACCAGACUCCUACGGGAGGCAGCAGUGGGGAAUAUGGCACAGUGGGAGGACGCCUGAUGCAGCAACGCCGCGUGCGGGAUGACGGCCUUCGGGUUGUAAACCGCUUUCGCCUGUGACGAAGCGUGAGUGACGGUAAUGGGUGAAGAAGCACCGGCUAACUACGUG
rnacentral:rRNA from 1 species